GAUGAAGAACGCAGCGAAAUGCGAUAAGUAAUGUGAAUUGCAGAAUUCAGUGAAUCAUCGAAUCUUUGAACGCACCUUGCGCCCUUUGGCUAUUCCGAAGGGCAUGCCUGUUUGAGUAUCGUGAACACCUCAACUCUCAUGGUUUGCCAUGAUGAGCUUGGACUUUGGGGGUUUUGCUGGCCUUUGGUCGGCUCCUCUCAAACGGAUCAGCUUUCCAGUGUUUGGUGGCGUCACGGGUGUGAUAACUAUCUACGCCUGUGGUUUUCUGCCAGAUAACCUUCAGCGAUGGAGGUUCGCUGGGGCUCAUAAAUGUCUCUCUUCAGUGGAGACAGCUUUUUGGACGUUUGAUCUCAAAUCAGGUAGGACUACCCGCUGAACUUAAGCAUAUCAUAAGCGGAGGA
rnacentral:misc_RNA from 1 species